CCAGAGCCUAUAAAAGUACUGCUGGGACAAGCCUUUCCUGUCUCUACAGAAAUCUUCAAGCACUGACCAGCAUCCAGCCUGUGAGUCACUUGGUGUCACAAGAGCCCCCUACUGCACAGAACUGCAUAAACUGCAGCCAUGUCAUCAGAUGCUGAAAUGGCCAUAUUUGGGGAGGCAGCUCCUUACCUCCGAAAGUCAGAAAAGGAAAGAAUUGAGGCUCAAAACAAGCCUUUUGAUGCCAAGACAUCUGUCUUUGUGGUACACGCUAAAGAAUCCUAUGUGAAAAGCACAAUCCAGAGCAAAGAAUCUGGGAAGGUCACUGUCAAGACUGAAGGUGGAGAAACUCUAACCGUGAAGGAAGAUCAAAUCUUCUCCAUGAACCCUCCCAAGUACGA